rnacentral:rRNA from 1 species
CCUACGGGGUGGCUGCAGUGGGGAAUAUUGGACAAUGGGCGAAAGCCUGAUCCAGCCAUGCCGCGUGUGUGAAGAAGGCCUUCGGGUUGUAAAGCACUUUCAGUGGGGAAGAAAGCCUUGGGGCUAAUACCCUCGAGGAAGGACAUCACCCACAGAAGAAGCACCGGCUAACUCCGUGCCAGCAGCCGCGGUAAUACGGAGGGUGCGAGCGUUAAUCGGAAUUACUGGGCGUAAAGCGCGCGUAGGCGGUCUGAUAAGCCGGUUGUGAAAGCCCCGGGCUCAACCUGGGAACGGCAUCCGGAACUGUCAGGCUAGAGUGCAGGAGAGGAAGGUAGAAGUCCCGGUGUAGCGGUGAAAUGCGUAGUGAUCGGGAGGAAUACCAGUGGCGAAGGCGGCCUUCUGGACUGACACUGACGCUGAGGUGCGAAAGCGUGGGUAGCAAACAGGAUUAGAUACCCUGUAGUC